GCAGUACUAUUGCUAAAGGUUAGGGGGUUUGUGCGCUUAAGUCAAACAAAAGUUGUUCCCUUCCUAUCUGCUUCCAAAAACUGCUCCAUGAAAGAUGGUGGAAUGCUCUAUUCAUUGAUAUAGUUAUAGUUAGUAGAUAGCGCUCCUCUUCUUGCUAGGUCGUCUGCUGCUUGGUUUGCUUCCUGAUAGCUAUGUUGAAUGGGCGGGUCCCCCCAGCCUGUGGAGUAAUUCCCUGCAUUCAUCGAUGAUGUUAGUAUAUAUUGGAUGAUCAUUUUUAAUGAAAAAGAGAAUUACCUUUGAGUCCAUAUUAAUGCUGAGAGGUGUAUAAAAGUUAUUUAUACGCAAUGCGAAGUCCAUGCAGUAGCGCUAAUAAUUCCGCUCUAGUAGUGUUGAUGUGUAUGAAACUUCCCAUGAACCCUACGAUCCAGCGGCCCGUUUGGUCCCUAAUUAACCUCCCUAUACCCUUCUUCUUGGCUUUCCUAACGAUGAGCCAUCCGUAUUCAAUUUGUAGCCUUUUUUAGGCAGUUUCCAGUUCACGUGAUAAAUGCCGGUAUGAUUAACAGUUUUAGUUUUAUUUGAUAGGGUAGCAAAUUCUAUUUCUCGUAAAAUAGGCAAGUCUAUUCUGAUGGGGUUAUUAAGGUGCUUAUGGUAAUUUUCAUUCCUGGUGAGCCAUACACUCCAAAGAUAAAAAUGAAAAGUGAAUUCCCAUGUAAGCAAGGAUCCUUGAGGUUUGGAACCUACCACUGUUAAGUGAUCCAGCCAAUGUUUAUCCGAGUAUUUUAUCAUUUCAGUUUGAUUAUCCAUACCUAACUUAUGCCAAUUUUUUUUUACUUUUUUACAAUAUAGGAAAAUAUGUUCGAUUGUUUCUGGGUUUCCACAGGCAUAGCAGUUAGGGCUUACUUUUAUACCUAUAGAGUGAAGGUAAUUGGUAGUAGGGAGUCUAUUAUGCAUACAUAAUCAUAAAAAGAAUUUGAUUUUGUUUGGGCAUUGAAGCUUCCAUAUCCAUUUAAAGUUUCUCUCUGGAUCCCUACUUGGUAAAGUCUCAUUUCUAAUGGACCAGUAUGCAGAUCCUGUAGAAAAAAGACUCGAGUUGGUGCAUUUCCAGGUUGGUUUGUCAAUUGCAUUUGGGUUGUUAGAAAUAUAAACUUCGUUAAUGAGAUUAUUCAGGUUAAGGGGUAAGUUGAAGGGGAUGCGAUCUAGGACCCAGUUACCGUUUUUAAUAAGAUCUUUUACUGUUCUUUCCUCCUCAUUCUUUGGUAACGGGCCUUGAAUAAGCGAUCUAAGGGGGAGUAUAGAAGGAAUCCAGUGGUCAUGCCAUAGGGAGAUUCCCUCUCCAUUUCCUAUGGUCCAAUAUAAGGUUUUUGAACAUAUUCCCUCACCCCCCCCCCUGAAGGAUGUAUUUCCAAGUCAUGCGAUAAGUUUUCAUGUAACAUGUACCAGGAAAGAUUCUAUCUUUUAAAUAUUUAUUAAUUAACAAAAGCGCCAAGAGGGUAUGUUGGUUGGUAUAGCAUCUCCAUGCUAGUUUCGUCAUCAAGGCUUUAUUUUUAAUGCUAGCAUCUUGGAGACUAAGUCCUCCUAUAUCCUUAUUAGAGGUAAUUGUGGACCAGCUUAAGAGAUGCAACUUAUUUUUUUUAGUCGAGGAACCCCAUAUAAAUUGCCUUUGUAUUCGAUCUUUAUUUUGGGUAAUAGUUUUGGGUAGCGUAAUCGUUUGCAUAAUAUGUGUCGGAAUGUUACUGAGGGUAGCUUUAGUCAAGGUGGUUCUGCCCGCUAUAUUUAGGAACUUUAUUUUCCAGCCUUCCAGUUUCUUUUUAAGAUUAUCUAAGAUGAAUUGAUAGUCGUUAACAGAAGCUUUUUUAUUAAAGAUUGGAAUCCCUAAAUAUUUCUCGAAGGAUUUACCUCUGUUGAUGUUCAGAGUAUUAAUGGCCAUUGUUUGGAGAUUAUCCGGGCAGUUCCUUGAGAAAAAGAUCUUUGACUUGUUUGAGUUAAUCGUUUGGGUCGACUCAAGACAGAAUUGGGUAAGGAUUCUAUGAAUGGUAUUACAAUUUUCUUGGGUGACCUUAGCCAUAAGGGUUAGGUUAUCCGCGAAGAAAAGGUGGGAUAUUGAAGGGCCUCGGGGAGAUGUUUUGAUAGGGACCCAGUUACCUUGCUCUACCUCUCUUUCUAUACUUUGUGAUAGCAUUUCCAUGCAAAGAAUGAAGAUGUAGGGCAAUAAGGGGUCACCUUGCCGAAUGCCUCUACUAGGUUUAAAGAAGUUUGUUCGGCCCCUAUUUACUAGAAUUGCAGUUUCGCUAGUUGUUAUGCAGUUCAUUAUUAAACUGGUAAGUUUUGGAGGGAUACUAAAGUAUUUAAGGGUUUUGUAAAUGAAAGCCCAUUCCAUUUUAUCGAAAGCCUUUUCUAGGUCUAUUUUAAUUAACAUGUUAGUUUUUUUCCCUUUUAUUUUGUUGAAGUGGAAGAUUAUCUCCUGAAUUACAAUUACAUUAUCAGAGGCUUGUCUAUUUUUCAAGAAGCUACUUUGAAAGGGACUUAUUAAUUUGCUCAUAAAAGGUUUUAGCCGAUUAGAAAUUAUUUUCGUGAGAAUUUUACAAUUAGUAUUGCAAAGACUUAUCGGCCUAAAAUGAUUGAGACUAACAACAUUAUUUGUUUUAGGGAUAAGACAAAUGUAAGUUUUAUUUAUGUUCUGGGGAAGGCAAGAAUUUUUGAAAGUAUUAACACAAAAGUUAACAACGGAGUCACCCACAAUACUCCAAUAUUCUUUAUAGAACAAAGGGUGAAAGCCUGUUGGGACCAGGAGAUUUAUAGGGGAGUAGGAAUUAACAGAUAGUAAGAUUUCAUCCAUGGUUAGCUCAUUAUCAAGAAACUGGAGGUCUAAAUCAAUUUUGUUUGAGGCAUAAUUAAUAUAAUCGAACGAGGAGUGGACGGUUUGGAAUAGUUUUUUUAAUAAUAAUUGGCAUUAAAUAGCAGAAUUUGAUUGUGUUCAGAGAUCCACCUUCCCUCUUCAUCCUGGAGCGAUAAGAUUCUAUUUUUCUUCUACGAUUGAUGGUAGAGAUAUGAAAAUUUUUUGUGUUAGCAUCUCCUUCGCUUAACCAAGUUAUUCGAGACUUAGUUUCCAAAAAUCCUCUUCUUGUUUUAGAAUAAUAUUGUAUUCAUUUAUCAACUCUUUUUCUAACGUGAGAAGGAAAUUUGAGUGGGGGUAAUUUAGGGAGUGUUGGAUACCCCUAAUUCUGUUCAAGAGAGUUAUUUUCUUUUUAAAGAUAUUUCUAAAGGUCUUUUCAUUCCAUCGUGUGAUGGAUUCCUCAAAUACGGGUAUUAUAUCUUCUAGGUUGGUACUUGCCUGCCAGUUGGAGGCAAUGACAUUUGUCAGCUCCGGAUGGGAAGCCCACAUGGCUUCGAAUCUGAAAAUUUUUCUAAUAAUUGUCCUAUCUCUAGAAUCUAGAUUAAGAAGUAGAGAACAGUGAUCUGAGUGGGUCCUAGAUAAAUGAAUCACUUGAGAGUUAGGAUAAUUUUAGACCCAAUUUUGGUUGGUGAAGAAUCUAUCCAGUCGUUCAAGGAUAAGGCAAUUCUUAUUUUUGAAGCUCUUAUUUAACCAUGUAUAUUUUGUACCUCUGUACCCUAAGUCAAUCAAUUUGCAGUAAUUAACGGCGUUUCAAAAAUCAGAGGUACGGGGUUGACUUAUAGGUCUACCUUUUUUUUUCUAGACUAGUCAUAAGUUCGUUAAAAUCUCCCUCUAUUAGCCAUUUUCCAUCAUAACUAUCUUUUAUGGUACAAAGGUUUUGCCAUAAAAUUUUACAAUCUUUCCUAUACGAUACUAGCAUAAAUGUAUGAAAAUAACCAACAUUCAGAGCUAGAGCAUACCUUCACUAUUGCAUGGAUUUUCUGUUCAUUGGGUAGCAAUAUUGUCCAGUUCCAGAAAGUUAUCAUCCCAGAGAACCGCAAUGCCCUCAAAGUUCCUAAUAGCCGGAACUUCUGUCAUCUUAUUGAAGGGAAAGAUAUUAAGAAGCACUUGAUGGUUUUGCAUUUUAGUUUCAAGAAGGGCCACUAAGGGUGGUUUAUGCCAAUCAAUUAUUGCUCUGAAGUUUCUUCUAAACUCAGAGCCAUUGAAACCCCUACAGUUCCAUAUGAUAAUAUCCAUGGAUCUGUUCAUGGUUUGUGGAAUUUUGUUGGGGCUCCCCUUCUCCUGAGAUGGUUCCAUCUCCAUUAGAGUGGGGUUCAUUACUACAACAAAGUUCCCUAUCUCUGGAGUCGAUGGAAUUCUUAUAUCUAAGGAGGUUUUCCGUAGAAAGGGUGGACAAAUAAGUAUGGCUUUUUUUACGAAUCGCUUCUUGAACACUAGGCACUUUUAUUUCUUUUAAGAUGUGAAUCUCCAUUCUCGUCUCUCGCAUUAAUUCUAGAGCGUCCUCUACCUCUUGUAAAUUUAUGUUCUCCUGAAGAUUCGAGACAGUUGGGGGAGGCAUUCUCGGGAUGAGUUGUACCUGGUUCGGAGACGCAAAGUUGAAGUGAGCUGAUCUGUUAGAGCUCUUCCCCGGCUGAGCAUAUCAGCUAUGGGUUGGAAUGAUAGAGGCCCCGUCAGUUGAUAUUAUAGGUUCGACUGAUUCAUUAGCACUUCCAGUUGUGUUGGCGUAACUGGGAAUGUCGGGAAUGGGAGUUGCGGUCCUAGUGGGUUUAUUAGUGAUAUCUCACAUCCCAUCGGGUGAUAAAAAGGUAGCUGAGGCAUUUGGUAGUUCAUUGGAGCUUGGAGAGUGGUUGACAACCACAUAUGGUUGUAAUAAUUUUCCGUUGUGGCUCUCAUCAUUUCGGUUUCUACUCGGGCAAGAUAAGAUGGGUUUUGCACUAUCACAUAAACUUUUCUGCCCUCCAACAGUAUACUUAGAGUUAGUGCAAAUCCCUAUGCAGCCAUCUCCAUCCACGAUAUCGGAGCGAAGUUCCCCGGAAGAGGAGCUGUCGCAUACACUAGAGUAUCGCCUAUCAGUCGAGGGGUGGUGGGUCGAUCUAUGGUAGUGGACUCUGGGGGGAGAGUGAUGGUCCGUUCCUCUGAGAAGGGGUUGGAAAGGGGUUUCAUCUCGAUGGGCGUCGGUUGGUGAAGAGAAAUGAUUAUCGAGGCAUGUUUCCUUAGUAUGGGGUUUUGUAUUUAAGGAGAAGGAAGAAUGUGAGUUGGAUGUAUCAAUACCAGCUGGGAUAUUUAAGGUAUCCGAAAAGGUAAAUAUUGAAUUUAUGCAUCCACUUUCUAUACUAUGUAGUUUGUAGGAGCAGUAGUGCUAUUAUUUUUGGAAAAGAUGUUUUCUAUCUUUGGAAUGUCAAGGGGUGCUGUAUUAGUGGACAUGGGGGAGUCCACGUCGUCUACUCUAUUAACGUUGGGGUGUGAAAGAUUAAAAGUAGGGGUAAUUUGGUCUUCGAACGUAAUAUUUGCCAGCAAAUGAGUGGCCGUAUACUUACUUGGCUGUUUGGUAACCCCUAUUAUUUUUUAGGUGACGUGGGGGGUCAAUGUAGGGGGUUCACUAGGGGUAUUACGGGUCAAGGUGGUGACGUCAUCACAUGAUGUCAUAUUAUCUUGUUCAAUUGUUUUGUGAUUGUUCAGCACUUUGGGAUUGCAAUCAACUUGUUGGGUAUUAUCGCUUAGUGCAGCGAAGCUAUUUGUGUUAGUGAAAGUGUUCAUGUGGCUUCGUUUAGGCCUAUAAUUGAGAACUUGUGAGUCGAUGAACUUACCUAUGGUUGUAUUGAAAAUAUUAACGAUAAUAUCUUGAUUCGUAGUACUAGAGAUCGCUUUUUUUGUUUCUCGUUUCUUACUUUUUUGGGUUUCCUUGAGAAAUUGACUAUUUUCCAUUCCUCAUCUUGCCUUUUCUCCUAAGUUGAAGACAUAAUAUUUGUGUUCCCGUCCUUAGGCAUCAAUUUUGGUGUUUCUUCAAGAUUGGU
rnacentral:lncRNA from 1 species